GUUUGACCUCGGAUCAGGUAGGGUUACCCGCUGAACUUAAGCAUAUCAAUA
rnacentral:rRNA from 5 species